rnacentral:lncRNA from 1 species
ACUGAUACAUGAUCACAUGGUCACACAAUCACAUAGACACACAGUCACACUGACACAUGGUCACAUAGAAACAGACACAUAGUCACACAAACACACAGCCAUACAGAAGCACUACACAAUCACGAGGUCACGUGGAGACGCUGAUACAUGGUCACACGGUCACACAGACACACAGUCACACUGACACACAUUCACACAGAACACAGACACAGUCACACAGUCACAAGGUUACACGAAAACACUGACACGUCAUCACACACACAGUCAUAAGGUCACACAGAAACACUAACAUACAGUCACAUAGUAACAAAGUCACACAGACACACAGUCACAAAGUCACAUGGAAACACUGACACAUUAUCAUACAACCACACAGUCACAGAGUCACACAGGUACACAGUCACAGGGACACACAAGCACACAGUCACACAGUGUGUAAGGACUUCUCUGAAUGGCUUUGAUCCCGAGGCCAGGUGAGAGAUUAAGGGGGAAAGGGGAUGUAGUCAGUGAGUGAACACCUAUCUGUGUGGCAUGCCUGCUGACACUGGGGACUGUGCUGCACAGGGAGGGUGGGGAAGCUGGUCUUGACCCAUGCAGUUGCUGCAUUCUGAGCUGGAGCAGGCGUGAGGGCAGCAUCCUUAGUCAGGAUCAGCCUUUGAGCUCUAAUUCUCUUCCUGCACCAACCCCCACCCCCAGGUGUAUUCUCACCCCUGUCCCAGGCUCACUCCAUCCUGGCUGUCACAGGGCAGGCUUAGGGUGAAAUAAAAAGCCUCCACUGUCCCCACCACACCCCCGCCCCGUGCAUUCCAUCAAUGUGACAAAUGCUCUCUGGGCAGGACCCCUGAGGCUGUCUUCUCUGCCACCAACCCCUCCUUGCUUCCCAAUGAGUCCAGAGAGACAUGAGCAGAGGGGUGAUGGAUAGCCCUGUCUUAUUGUUCCAGACUCCGAAUCCAACAGGGGCCUGGGAGAGCUGUAUAAAUCAUAGCCUGGGCUGGGCUUUCACCAGCGCAGCUCGACAAGAGGAAUGGA